CGUAGGUGGCUAAGCGUUGUCCGGAUUUAUUGGGUUUAAAGGGUGCGUAGGCGGUCUUAUAAGUCAGUGCUGAAAUAUCCCGGCUUAACCGGGAGGGUGGCAUUGAUACUGUAGGACUUGAGUAAAGUUGAGGUUGGCGGAAUUGACGGUGUAGCGGUGAAAUGCUUAGAUAUCGUCAAGAACACCUAUAGUGAAGACAGCUAACUAAGCUUUAACUGACGCUGAGGCACGAAAGUGUGGGGAUCAAACAGGAUUAGAUACCCUGGUAGUCCACACUGUAAACGUUGAAGACUCGCUGUUGGCGAUACACAGUCAGCGGCUGAGAGAAAUCGUUAAGUCUUCCACCUGGGGAGUACGCCGGCAACGGUG
rnacentral:rRNA from 1 species